rnacentral:rRNA from 1 species
CUGGGCGUAAAGAGCUCGUAGGUGGUUUGUCGCGUUGUUCGUGAAAUCUCACGGCUUAACUGUGAGCGUGCGGGCGAUACGGGCAGACUUGAGUACUGCAGGGGAGACUGGAAUUCCUGGUGUAGCGGUGGAAUGCGCAGAUAUCAGGAGGAACACCGGUGGCGAAGGCGGGUCUCUGGGCAGUAACUGACGCUGAGGAGCGAAAGCGUGGGGAGCGAACAGGAUUAGAUACCCUGGUAGUCCACGCCGUAAACGGUGGGUACUAGGUGUGGGUUUCCUUCCUUGGGAUCCGUGCCGUAGCUAACGCAUUAAGUACCCCGCCUGGGGAGUACGGCCGCAAGGCUAAAACUCAAAGAAAUUGACGGGGGCCCGCACAAGCGGCGGAGCAUGUGGAUUAAUUCGAUGCAACGCGAAGAACCUUACCUGGGUUUGACAUGCACAGGACGCCGGCAGAGAUGUCGGUUCCCUUGUGGCCUGUGUGCAGGUGGUGCAUGGCUGUCGUCAGCUCGUGUCGUGAGAUGUUGGGUUAAGUCCCGCAACGAGCGCAACCCUUGUCUCAUGUUGCCAGCGGGUAAUGCCGGGGACUCGUGAGAGACUGCCGGGGUCAACUCGGAGGAAGGUGGGGAUGACGUCAAGUCAUCAUGCCCCUUAUGUCCAGGGCUUCACACAUGCUACAAUGGCCGGUACAAAGGGCUGCGAUGCCGCGAGGUUAAGCGAAUCCUUUUAAAGCCGGUCUCAGUUCGGAUCGGGGUCUGCAACUCGACCCCGUGAAGUCGGAGUCGCUAGUAAUCGCAGA